GCCUGGUGAAAACCGGGAAGAGGGGAGCAAAUUAGCAAAAGAAUGCAAAGCGCCAAAGACUAGCGGCGAAGAGGCUGGCUUCUUCAAAACCCGCCGUCCCAAUAAUCAGAUGCAUCCGUUCCCAGUUUCCCAAGAUUCUCUCCCGGUUCCUGCAAAUUCAGGCGAUGUAAGAGUUGAUUAGCACUCAUGGAUUGGAACCACUGGCAGUUUGCCCCCAUAUAUCUCUGGAAGCUGGCUUUGGUCAAUAUCUUCAAGCAGGGUUGAUGUUAGCCUUUUGUUCUCAACAAAAAUGAUCUGCAAGAAAAAGAUGUGAAGACUAAUUGACCACUUUGAGGUACUUGAGGAACAUUGCAGAAGCUUUCUCUACAUUCAAGUCUCGAGCACGUAGAAAUCUUCUAAUUGUCAGAUCAUCCACUUCCUGCUCGUCGAGUUCACUCCCAUAGUAUAGCAUGAGCAAAAGGUACGUUCAGUUUAUUUUACUCUUUGUACAGUGAAGUUGAAACAUGGUAUCUUUGAUUCUUUUUUUAAAGCCUUAUUAGCAGUGUUGAAUAGUUUCGAAUUGAUAAGCAUAGAUAUAAAAAGAGGAGAUUCAAAUUGAACAAGAACUUAAAAUUGGCUUAGUAUGUGAAUAGACUAGGGUAGACUACCCAUUUAGUGUUUUCUUCUCCUUUGAAAAUUGGUGUCAAAUUAGCAUAAUACAGGUUAGAAUCAAUAUGCGAAUGGAACAAGAUAGGUUCCUAUAUAACAGUUAGUUCAUGCAUUAAAUUGUUGAACUACACAAUAGGCGUAUUGGCUUGCAUUGAAUGGUUUUGAAGUCAAGUCUUCUUCAAGCCAGUUAAGGUUGCCUUUAUGUGAUAGAGUGCAUAUGAUUGGAUUUGUAGGUACACACUAUCCAUGUGCCUCUCCAACCAUGGGAUAAGUAAUGGAAAACAUUUUUCUUGUGUUGUCCAUCUUCUUCUCCCCAUUCAUCAAAAAACCUAAACGACAUUAAACUAUUUUUUUGGUGAUGAGGGAAUCCACCGAAAACACAGUCCACCGGAUUCCAUCCCAAUGGUAAAUCCAUGGGCCACAUGCAAUACCGGCAAAUCACAUGGGCUGGUUAAGUCCUAGGAUGAAACGUAGUGCGGAAGUAACGCCAAAUUGCAUCAGGGUGGGUGUUAGAACCCGUGACCUCCCACGCACAUGCGCUAAGAGGUUUAAACAAUUUUUUUUGUUGACAUUUAAACUACCUAAAAGCUCAAAGAAGAGUGAAUGAAACUGCAUACCAUAUCAUGAAAAUUGAUGGCAUAGAUCACAAUGAUCAUCAGAGAGUACUGGCGUGCUAGGUUUCAAAAUGUUUCCAAAACCCCGUACAGUGAAUCAAACAUGAAAAGUAUGUUUAUAGAGAGAAUAGAAUAGAUUAGAUAUAGAGAGACAAAGGAGAUGAAAGGCACCUUGGAA